rnacentral:tRNA from 1 species
UAUGAAGUGCCUGAAAAAAGGACGAUUUUGAUAGAAUCGAUAAUGUGCCCAAGGCACCUUCAUAA